CGGACGGGUGAGUAAUGCCUAGGAAUCUGCCUGGUAGUGGGGGACAACGUUUCGAAAGGAACGCUAAUACCGCAUACGUCCUACGGGAGAAAGCAGGGGACCUUCGGGCCUUGCGCUAUCAGAUGAGCCUAGGUCGGAUUAGCUAGUUGGUGAGGUAAUGGCUCACCAAGGCGACGAUCCGUAACUGGUCUGAGAGGAUGAUCAGUCACACUGGAACUGAGACACGGUCCAGACUCCUACGGGAGGCAGCAGAU
rnacentral:rRNA from 1 species